UGGGGAAUAUUGCACAAUGGGCGCAAGCCUGAUGCAGCCAUGCCGCGUGUAUGAAGAAGGCCUUCGGGUUGUAAAGUACUUUCAGUCGGGAGGAAGGUGGUAAGGUUAAUAACCUUAUCAAUUGACGUUACCGACAGAAGAAGCACCGGCUAACUCCGUGCCAGCAGCCGCGGUAAUACGGAGGGUGCAAGCGUUAAUCGGGAUUACUGGGCGUAAAGCGCACGCAGGCGGUUGAUUGAGUCAGAUGUGAAAUCCCCGGGCUUAACCCGGGAAUUGCAUCUGAUACUGGUCAGCUAGAGUCUUGUAGAGGGGGGUAGAAUUCCAUGUGUAGCGGUGAAAUGCGUAGAGAUGUGGAGGAAUACCGGUGGCGAAGGCGGCCCCCUGGACAAAGACUGACGCUCAGGUGCGAAAGCGUGGGGAGCAAACAGG
rnacentral:rRNA from 1 species